GUCCACGCGGUAAACGAUGACGACUAGGUGUGGGGGCGUUCAGUCCCUUCCGUGCCGCAGCUAACGCAUUAAGUCGUCCGCCUGGGGAGUACGGCCGCAAGGUUGAAACUCAAAGGAAUUGACGGGGGCCCGCACAAGCGGUGGAGCAUGUGGUUCAAUUCGAUGCAGAGCGAAGAACCUUACCUGGGCUUGACAUGCAGGAAGUAGGAACCCGAAAGGGGGACGACCCGUUGAAUCGGGAGCCUGCACAGGUGGUGCAUGGCUGUCGU
rnacentral:rRNA from 1 species